rnacentral:rRNA from 1 species
UGGGGAAUAUUGGACAAUGGGCGAAAGCCUGAUCCAGCCAUGCCGCGUGUGUGAAGAAGGUCUUCGGAUUGUAAAGCACUUUAAGUUGGGAGGAAGUGCAGUAAGCGAAUACCUUGCUGUUUUGACGUUACCGACAGAAUAAGCACCGGCUAACUCUGUGCCAGCAGCCGCGGUAAUACAGAGGGUGCAAGCGUUAAUCGGAAUUACUGGGCGUAAAGCGCGCGUAGGUGGUUCGUUAAGUUGAAUGUGAAAGCCCCGGGCUCAACCUGGGAACUGCGUCCAAAACUGGCGAGCUAGAGUAGGGCAGAGGGUGGUGGAAUUUCCUGUGUAGCGGUGAAAUGCGUAGAUAUAGGAAGGAACACCAGUGGCGAAGGCGACCACCUGGGCUCAUACUGACACUGAGGUGCGAAAGCGUGGGGAGCAAACAGG